UACGUAGGGGGCAAGCGUUGUCCGGAUUUAUUGGGCGUAAAGAGCGUGUAGGCGGUUAGGUAGGUCCGUUGUGAAAACUCGAGGCUCAACCUCGAGACGCCGAUGGAAACCAUCUAACUAGAGUCCGGAAGAGGAAGAGUGAAUUCCUGGUGUAGCGGUGAAAUGCGCAGAUAUCAGGAGGAACACCGAUGGCGAAGGCAGGUCUCUGGGCAUUAACUGACGCUGAGGAGCGAAAGCAUGGGGAGCGAACAGG
rnacentral:rRNA from 1 species